UCGCAAUAUAUUUUGGUUUUUCUUUUCAAUAAAUCUGGAAGCAAGUAGGUGCACUUUAAAGUUUAAUGUGUUGGAUUUAUGACACAAAUAGUUGAUGGUCUAGUUGUGGUGGUGUGAGUUGGCAUGUGAGAGGACUUUGGUUCGAAUCCCUUGGCACGCAAAGGUUGAUUAUUUUGCUAUGUUGGGACGUCAAGAGUUGGUGUUGGUUUUAAACUCUGGUGAUGG
rnacentral:lncRNA from 1 species